rnacentral:rRNA from 2 species
AGACCCGAAACCCGGUGAUCUAGCCAUGGGCAGGUUGAAGGUUGGGUAACACUAACUGGAGGACCGAACCGACUAAUGUUGAAAAAUUAGCGGAUGACCUGUGGCUGGGGGUGAAAGGCCAAUCAAACCGGGAGAUAGCUGGUUCUCCCCGAAAGCUAUUUAGGUAGCGCCUCGUGAAUUCAUCUCCGGGGGUAGAGCACUGUUUCGGCUAGGGGGCCAUCCCGGCUUACCAACCCGAUGCAAACUGCGAAUACCGGAGAAUGUUAUCACGGGAGACACACGGCGGGUGCUAACGUCCGUCGUGAAGAGGGAAACAACCCAGACCGCCAGCUAAGGUCCCAAAGUCAUGGUUAAGUGGGAAACGAUGUGGGAAGGCCCAGACAGCCAGGAUGUUGGCUUAGAAGCAGCCAUCAUUUAAAGAAAGCGUAAUAGCUCACUGGUCGAGUCGGCCUGCGCGGAAGAUGUAACGGGGCUAAACCAUGCACCGAAGCUGCGGCAGCGAACGUAUCACCCAAGACAACUUUACGGAGUUGACGAUUGACGGAGCGAAGCGACGUCAAAGCGUUCAUUAAAGUCGAGUUGGCUUAGGGAUACGUUCGUUGGGUAGGGGAGCGUUCUGUAAGCCUGUGAAGGUGUGUCGUGAGGCAUGCUGGAGGUAUCAGAAGUGCGAAUGCUGACAUAAGUAACGAUAAAGCGGGUGAAAAGCCCGCUCGCCGGAAGACCAAGGGUUCCUGUCCAACGUUAAUCGGGGCAGGGUGAGUCGACCCCUAAGGCGAGGCCGAAAGGCGUAGUCGAUGGGAAACGGGUUAAUAUUCCCGUACUUGGUGUUACUGCGAAGGGGGGACGGAGAAGGCUAUGUUGGCCGGGCGACGGUUGUCCCGGUUUAAGCGUGUAGGUGUGUGUUCCAGGUAAAUCCGGUUCACUUUAACACUGAGGCGUGACGACGAGGCACUACGGUGCUGAAGCAACAAAUGCCCUGCUUCCAGGAAAAGCCUCUAAGCAUCAGGUAACAUCAAAUCGUACCCCAAACCGACACAGGUGGUCAGGUAGAGAAUACCAAGGCGCUUGAGAGAACUCGGGUGAAGGAACUAGGCAAAAUGGUGCCGUAACUUCGGGAGAAGGCACGCUGACACGUAGGUGAAGUGAUUUACUCACGGAGCUGAAGUCAGUCGAAGAUACCAGCUGGCUGCAACUGUUUAUUAAAAACACAGCACUGUGCAAACACGAAAGUGGACGUAUACGGUGUGACGCCUGCCCGGUGCCGGAAGGUUAAUUGAUGGGGUCAGCG